GGUUCGUGUUUUUCGCGAACACGUUAUCGCAGAGUCCUGCUCCGAAGAGGUCCAAGCAGUAGCUACAAAAAUUUCGAUUAUGGCAACACUGAUUCAAAUUGAUGAAGAUCGCGUCCGUUUAUCUGCUGCAGGGUUGUUCAAUGUUGGAAUGUUUCUGAUUCCUGGGGUAAGCCUAUUUUUAUUUUUUAAAUUCUCAAGUAUCACAUAUAUUAUGACAUAUAUCUGAAGUUGACAGGUGCCGCAGUUACAUACAUGGUCAUCCUUCUUCAAAGUUAGAACAGAUUACAGAAAAAGGAUUCGGACUAUAAUGACAGGAGAUGAAAUUAAAUGAACUAUGCCAUUCUAAUAGCUUAGAAAAUACCUGAUGGUUUUUUUGUAAGGGUGGUAUUUAAUAACAGUGAGUGAAUUGACAUUCAAUUUAAUAAAAUUGACAUAAAAA